UGGGGAAUAUUGCACAAUGGGCGCAAGCCUGAUGCAGCCAUGCCGCGUGUGUGAAGAAGGCCUUCGGGUUGUAAAGCACUUUCAGCGGGGAGGAAGGCGUUAAGGUUAAUAACCUUGGCGAUUGACGUUACCCGCAGAAGAAGCACCGGCUAACUCCGUGCCAGCAGCAGCGGUAAUACGGAGGGUGCAAGCGUUAAUCGGAAUUACUGGGCGUAAAGCGCACGCAGGCGGUCUGUCAAGUCGGAUGUGAAAUCCCCGGGCUCAACCUGGGAACUGCAUUCGAAACGGGCAGGCUAGAGUCUGGUAGAGGGGGGUAGAAUUCCAGGUGUAGCGGUGAAAUGCGUAGAGAUCUGGAGGAAUACCGGUGGCGAAGGCGGCCCCCUGGACGAAGACUGACGCUCAGGUGCGAAAGCGUGGGGAGCAAACAGG
rnacentral:rRNA from 1 species